UACGGAGGGUGCAAGCGUUAUCCGGAUUUACUGGGUUUAAAGGGUGCGUAGGUGGGUUGGUAAGUCAGUGGUGAAAUACUUUCGCUUAACGAAGGAACUGCCAUUGAUACUACCAGUCUUGAAUACAGUGGAGGUAGGCGGAAUGCGUCAUGUAGCGGUGAAAUGCUUAGAUAUGACGCAGAACACCAAUUGCGAAGGCAGCUUGCUACACUGUUAUUGACACUGAGGCACGAAAGCGUGGGGAGCAAACGGG
rnacentral:rRNA from 1 species